rnacentral:rRNA from 1 species
GACGAACGCUGGCGGCGUGCCUUACACAUGCAAGUCGAACGGUAAUAGGUCUUCGGAUGCUGACGAGUGGCGAACGGGUGAGUAACACGUGAGUAACCUGCCCCCUACUCUGGGAUAAGCCUGGGAAACUGGGUCUAAUACCGGAUAUGACCUCCUUCUGCAUGGUUGGUGGUGGAAAGUUUUUUCGGUAGGGGAUGAGCCCGCGGCCUAUCAGCUUGUUGGUGGGGUAAUGGCCUACCAAGGCGACGACGGGUAGCCGGCCUGAGAGGGCGAACGGCCACACUGGGACUGAGACACGGCCCAGACUCCUACGGGAGGCAGCAGUGGGGAAUAUUGCACAAUGGGCGAAAGCCUGAUGCAGCGACGCCGCGUGGGGGAUGACGGCCUUCGGGUUGUAAACCCCUUUCAGUCGGGACGAAGCGAGAGUGACGGUACCGAUAGAAGAAGCACCGGCCAACUACGUGCCAGCAGCCGCCGUAAGAC